rnacentral:rRNA from 1 species
UACGGAGGGUGCAAGCGUUAUCCGGUUUUAUUGGGUUUAAAGGGUGCGUAGGUGGUUUGAUAAGUCAGCGGUGAAAGUUUGCAGCUUAACUGUAAAAAUGCCGUUGAAACUGUCGUACUUGAGUGUAAAUGAGGUAGGCGGAAUGCGUGGUGUAGCGGUGAAAUGCAUAGAUAUCACGCAGAACUCCGAUUGCGAAGGCAGCUUACUAAGCAAAAACUGACACUGAAGCGCGAAAGCGUGGGGAUCAAACAGG